rnacentral:lncRNA from 1 species
AAAAUCUUAAAGAAAUAUUAGAAUGAUCACAAAUAUAUCUCAAAUACAUCUCAAUUCAAUCUUAAUUUAAUCCUAAUUAAAAUCCUAUUGGACUUCAUUCAAAGUUUAAGCCAAAAAUUAACUAAGUCUUAAACCUUAUAUAAACUCAAAUAAAACCCUAAAUCCUAAAUCAAAUUCUAAUCAAAUCCUAAAUCCUAAAUCAAAUCUUAACCAAUCCUAAUCAAAUCCUAACCCUAAAUCAAAUCCUAAUUGAAUCCUAAAUCCUAAAUCAAACCCUAAUCCUAAAUCAAAUCCUAACCAAUCCUAAACCAAACCUUAAAUCGUAAACCAAAUCCUAACCAAAUCCUAAUCUUAAAUCAAAUCCUAAGCAACCCUAAAUCAAACCUUAAACCAUAAAUCAAAUCCUAAUCAAAUUCCAACCAAAUCCUAAAUCCUAAACUAAAUUCUAACCAAAUCCUAACUCUAAAUCAAACCCUAAUCAAACCUUAAACUCUAAAUCAAAUCCUAACCAAAUCCUAACCCUAAAUCAAACCCUAACAAAAUCCUAAAUCCUAAACCAAACCUUAAACCUAAAUAAAGCCUAAAUAAAACUUAAAUCUUAAACCAAAUCUUAAUCUUAAAUCAAGCUGUAACCAAAUCCUAAACCUUAAAUCAAAUCCAAAUCAAAUCAUAAUCCUAAAUCAAAUCCUAAUCAAAUCCUAAUCUUAAAUCAAAUCCUAACCAAAUCCUAAUACUAAAUCAAACAUUAACCAAACUCUAAACCAAACCCUAAAUCCUAAAUCAAAUCCUA